rnacentral:rRNA from 1 species
AGCAGCCGCGGUAAUUCCAGCUCCAAUAGCGUAUAUUAAAGUUGUUGCAGUUAAAAAGCUCGUAGUUGAAUUUCGGGAUCAGUACGCUGGUCGUGCCUUCGGUAUGUACUGGUGUUACUGGUUCCUACCUUCUGACGAACCGUCAUGUCAUUAAUUUGGUGUGGCGGGGAAUCAGGACUGUUACUUUGAAAAAUUAGAGUGUUUAAAGCAGGCUCGCGCUUGAAUACAUUAGCAUGGAAUAAUGAAAUAGGACGUUCGAUCCUAUUUUGUUGGUUUCUAGGAUUGACGUAAUGAUUAAUAGGGAUAGUUGGGGGCAUUAGUAUUCAAUUGUCAGAGGUGAAAUUCUUGGAUUUAUUGAAGACUAACUACUGCGAAAGCAUUUGCCAAGGAUGUUUUCAUUAAUCAAGAACGAAAGUUAGGGGAUCGAAGACGAUCAGAUACCGUCGUAGU